rnacentral:lncRNA from 1 species
AGGGUUUGUGCCUUUGAUCGACAGUGAGAGCCGUCAGAGAGAGCAAAUCAAAGGUCGGAGAAGAUGAAGAGAGAGAGAAGAUAUAAGAAUAAGAGAUGCUAUGGAAACUGAUAUCGAUGUGGAGAGAGACAUGAUAUGCGCUGAAAAAAAUAGACAUGACGUGCAAAUUUUGAUCUAUAUGUAAUUAAUUAUGUAAACUUUGUACCUCAUGUUUACUUUUAAUCAAUUUAUUUAUAUUGACAAAAAAUGAUUCACAAAUCACAAUGAUAGAUCUUGUUUUUAAAUUAUUUAACUAAAAAUUAUAUUAAAAUAGAUUAGGACCGUCUGAUGUGUGGGUUUUAAAAUUUUUUAAUUACAUUCUUUGAAAAUAUAUAUAUAAUCUUUAAGUUAGAGAAGAUAAUUAUAUAUAUAUAUAUAUAUAUAUAUUUUUUUUCUUCAAUUAAAAAAAAAGUUAUUUAUAUGUUCGUUUUGCUUUAACUUAUUUGCAUCUUUAUAUUUUAAAUUUAUUGUAAGAUUUAUUACAAUAAACUAGUACAUUUAAAUUACCAAUCUUCAAAACUUUUGCCAUAUAUUCAUCAUUAUUUUUAUCGUCAAAUCUCGAGAACGUAGUUUAGCAAUUUCGCGUAAAUGAUUCUACUACUUGAGAAACUGCUUUACAUGCAAAUCAUCGGUAAGCUUAUUUCAAUCCAUUUACAAAUCUACUAUCUACAUUACAACUAAAAAAUGUAUCUAUGAACACAUUAAGCCUAUCCAUUUCAAUCCAAUCAUAUUUUACUAUUGAAAUAUGAUUUCUAUCACCACCUACAAAAUGUAUCUAUGAACACAUUAAUCCAAUUAUAUGUCUUAUUUUUUUUUAUGUCCAACUAUAUGUCUCUUCAUUUUUACUUUUGCAUGGUUUCUUUAACCACUAAAUUUUUUGACUUAAAGAAUAUUUUGAAUAAAAAAUUAUAUUAUAUAGCAAUAAUUUAUGAUGUAUUUAUAAAAAUUAAAAUAAAUAAAAACUACUUGAUUAGAAUGCGUUUAUGACCAACCAAUAAACUAAAAGUUGAGAAAUUAAAAGAAAUUAAUUUGACGUAACUAAAAAGAAUAGAAAACUAUAAACACGAUAAUAUAUGAGUCUUAGAUAAUUCAAAGAUAGAAAUAUAAAUUAAAAUAAACAAUCUAAAAAUUCAACCAUUAAAUUAUAAAUAUUAGGAAAAUAAAUAGCAUAUAUUGAUCUUACCUACUAACUAUAAAAGAAAAUUCAAAAAUAUAAAAAAAUUAUUUUAAAUCAACAAAAAAUUGAAAUAUAUAAUGUAACUACUAACUUUGAAAAUCAAACUUUAUCUAAUAAGAUUAUAAAGUAUUAUAUACUCAUAAUUUAAUCUAAUAUUUGUGGAUGUCGGAUUCACACACUCAAGUAUUUUAUUAAGUAGGAAAGAUUAUUCUUGAGGGACAAAAAAUAAAUAUGUAAAAAGCUUAUGAGUUGCUACGAAAAUCGCUAUAUUCUUUCUUUCUCAAGAGGCCGAUCCCCUUUUUACAUGGUCAUUGGCCUUUUAUUUAUACAUAGAGAAACGACAUUAAAAUGAAUAAUUAAGUACAAUUAUUCCUUCUUAAAUGCGUCCGUUUUGAUUCUUCGACUUUAAUGCUCAACGUUUGAAUUUGAGUUGACUCUGGUCUUCUUGGGCCUCGCCUUUCCGGCCCAAGUGUCCUUGAACCGUCUUACCCGUGUCUACAUCGAACUCAUGUCACAAUGUAGUCACUUCGGACUCUCGAAGUGGUGACAACCACUUCGACCGUUCCUUCGGCUCAUGGGUCCGAUGGGCUUCAUCCUUUAUGGGUCAUUACCUUGACUACGUGGCAAUCUUUGGUUGGUCUCGUAUUUCCGGUGCGGGAUCCGACACCAACAAUUAGCCCCCCAAGUUCUUCGAAGUGCUAUUCCAAUUCGGAGGACUUUAAAUGCUUAAGUGGCCAAAGAUUGCGCUCGAGAAUCUUUCUGAUUUCCCGCCGAAAAUCACAUCACUCCUUUAAUUUCGGCACUAGCCAUUUUUAACCAAGUGACAUCUGUCAUCAUUAUGACCGUAUAUUGAUUAAUUACUAUUAAAACGGAAAAAACCUUCCCACUUCCCACACGACUUCCGAGGCGGUUUCAUCAUUAGCUUGAGGUAACUUCUUUUCACCAUUACUCUCUUCUUUUACUUUUGUGCUUUAAUCAAAAACUCUCUCUACUUUCCUUCACAAAACCUCUCUUCGCCGGAUCUUGAAUUUUCCUUUCUUCCCAAUGACUUCCGAUUCCGACAGACCCGAAUCUCCGUCUUUUGAUGAGAGGCGUUCUAGCAAUGACGAGUGCACCCGCCCUAACGAUAUUGCCGGUCCGCACUAUAGAUCCACCUGCACCCUUCAGUCCCUUGAACGAUUGAAAGAGCUCUGCCGAAUCCCACCGGAAAUUAUGGCAGAGGCGCAGAUAGCUGAUCCUACGGAGUCCCCAGAAAACCAUCGCGACGGCUAUUUCUGUGUAUACGAGAUCUAUUUUAAGGGUUGCGGGCUGACCUUUCCUCUUCCCGAAGCCCUAGUUCUAUACCUAGCGGCUCUUGAAAUCGCUCUUCCUCAAUUAACCCCCAACCUUCUCCGUACUAUUCUUGGAAUUAUAACAAUCGCGGCGGAGGCCGGUUACGUUGUCGGAGUUACUGAACUAAAUGAGCUUCUAAGCGUGAGAAGUUCAUCGAAGAAAACGGGAUAUUUCUCAGCAUAUCCUAAUGCCAACAGGAACAUCAUUUCGCAUCUUCCGAACAAGGAUGAAAAUUGGCAUCAUCCUUGGUUUCUGAUUAAGAAAACUCCCGCUUCGAUUGGAAAUCUUGCAGAUUUUCUCCCUUCGAAGUGGUCCGCGAAACCCGGUAGAGAUUAGGUCACCCGUAUCUUUCCCAGUUGUUUCUUUAUCUUUAUUGACUAACAUCGUUGUUUCAUUUCGCAGCUUUCGUCGCUUCCACUCUCCCAUCUGAAGAGUUCAUCGAAUUCUUCAAAAUAAUUCUUGAAGGGGAAACCCUUUGGAAUUCUUUCACUCUUGAACGAUUCCUAGAAGCUAACCACAGACUCAAGAUGAGUCCACCUGGUCAUCUUCACCAAAUUCCGCCUCCUCCCUCAAUUCAGGGGAUGUCAUCUCGGGCUCUUGCGGCCAAGCGUAAGAUGCUCUCCAAGCCGAUGGCUGAGGCUUGCGAGGAGAAGAAAAAGUUUCUCGCGACUUCUAUAGACAAGAAGGACUACAGUAGGACCCUGCUGGUUGAUGAUGGCAGCACCGAAGGGGCCAGAUCCGUCGCUUCUUUCAGAUUAACUCCUCGUCGCGAUCGUCAUGAUUCACAUUCUCCUCGGAGGGACCGAUCUCCUUGCCGUGAUUUACCUCGUCCUCCCCGAGAUGAUUUCAGCAAUGAACCAAUUAAGAACUUGGUUCGCCGGAAGAGAGACAAGUCCUCUCGCAGUGAUUCUUCCCCGCGAAGGGAAAAGUCAAGGGCCCGGACUGAUAGUUCACCUCGAUCAUCUCCUCCUACUGAACCAAUGGGUCCUCCACGACCGGUUGAUAUGUCUUCCUCUUCCCAGUCUGAUAGUGGAAAGACUGCCCGGAGCGCAUCUCCAAAAAAGGGAGAUUCUGAAUCUCGAGAUGCUUCCUCGGGGUUAAAACCUUCUCUUGUUCCUCAAGUCAAAUCGCUUUCAGGUUUGGUGAUUCAUACAGUCUUCGACGUUUUAUUUCCAUUAAGAUUCCGAUUUUUACAACUCUUCUUCCAUCGCAGCUAUGGAGAAGGAAGGCAACGUUUUCUGGUGCUUCAAGACCCGAUCGGGUUCGAUCUUGCCAGACUUUAACAAGUGGCGCCCUGCGAUCCGUGAACGCUAUUUGCUUCAUGCUCAUCAUUCAUCCCGGGUUAGUUUAGUUUUAAUUUAUACAUAUACUUUUUAUUGCAUUGCUAUUCAGCGAACUGACUCGCCAUCCCGGGUUUAUGUAUAAUACCAGGCUCACGGCGAACUUAACGACAUGAUCGAACACUAUGAAGGGCUGGUCCUUGGUCGGGAAAAGGAGAUUGACGCGUGGAAGAAAAAGCUUUAUGCUCUUGAGGCUGAGUUAAGCUCUUCUACCGGCUCCAAACACGAACUGGAAGACAAGGUCGACAAUCUAACAUCCGAACUGGCGAAGAUUAAGGGGGAGCUGCAGGGCCAGUACGACCAGAACUUCAAGCUCCAGGAAGAGUUUUCUGGUGUUCAGGGUAGGCUUCAAGAAUCCGAAUCAAACGCUGAUUCCCUGAACAACCAACUUAUCGAGCUUAACGCGAAGUACAAGGCGAUUACCAAAUUGCGUGACUCCGAGUUGGCGAGGUCGGCAUCAAAAGCCAGAAAGGAGGUUAAGGGACGCGGGAUGGAGUUGAUCCAAGGGGCCAUCCGAUUCAUGCAGACUGAGAAGGCUAGGUCUGAUUUGGAAUCAGACAUCAAGGAGCACGAGAGCAACCUGAUCCUGCUGGAUCAAAUCCAUGAUACAGAUUUCUCCGAGGAGCAAGAAAGGACCGAACUGUCGGCUAAUCUUUCUGAAAAGCGGAGUCGCUUGGCAGCUCUUCCUACUUCGAUCUUCAACCCUCGGGACUUCGAUGAAUUCUUCACUGAAUCACCUCCUAUAAGUGAAUCAGGUCUAGACUGGGCAGGUAAUGCUUGGUUCCUGACAUUUACUACCUUUUCCUCACCUUAUGUAUGGGGCAAAAUACAAGUUGACUGGGUCUGUCCUUCCCAGGUUCAAGUGAGACGGAGGAUGUUGUCCCACCCGAAGUACCCGCGACACCGGCGGUCACUCCGGAGGAAGGUUGUAAUGUAGAGGGCGGACCAAGAGCUCCAUCCGACCAAGCACCAGCUAAAGAGGUGAACGAAACUUCGGUUGCUGAGCCGGGGUCCGAGGUGGAUAUUACUCCGUAGUGGCUGCGUCCACUUUAAAUUGGGAAUUGUCCCAUUUAUUUUAAAACUUAAUUUCGAACUUGUCUUUGCCUAAGAAGGCUUUAUUAUUUUCUUUUGAACAAGAUAUUUGCCUGAGGAGGCUUUUAAACCUUUCUAGGUUAUGACCCAAGGGGGUUUGGUUAAAAUUUGAACGCGGGUUUGCAAAGUCCGCUUUUAACCUUUUGUGACCUUGUGGUUAUGCUUUCGAGAUUUUUAGGCUGAUCAGACCUUUCUCUUAAGAACGCGAGAGCUGAGCUCGGCUUAAAGCGAGUUCCCCAUUUCGGGUUUAGUCAACUCGAUAAAUUUAUUGGGCUUGGGCCUUAGAAACUUUUGUAGUUAAUGCGACGGUUGCUCUUUCCCUUCUCAAGGAAAACGGCUCGUCUUUUAAUGCAAUAAUUGCCUUUUCUCGUUUUUCCAAAAAUGGUUUAAACCACUCGGACACUCUACCAUUAAUGGAUUUAUGGUUCCAAGACAAACCCUAAAUCAUUAUAAAUAAAGGCUUACCUACCUCCAAGCUUUAUUUAAACAUGAUUUUAGAAUCUUACUUGAGAAAUAUUUCGAGAAUGGAAAACGAAACAGUAGCCCCCAUCGAUCCCGGCAGCCCACUUUUCUUGUCUGGCGACGGCUUUGAACCGGCCGGCGUUCUCUUCCCUCACGCCGUCUUUCACUUUCCUUCAAAGGAGAAGAAAGAGGCUUGCGACUUUAUCGACAAGGUAAAUAUUUAAAGUUUUUGAAAAAACUUUUUGUUUCAUCUUAUUCACUCAUCUCUAUGCUAGGUCGCCGACAAGCACCGUCGCUUGUGUGAAGAGAGGUAGCGGCUGGGCCUCAAAAGGCAAACACUCGAGGCUCGCAUUGCUCGGGUGGAAAGGAAGAUACGGGCCUUGGAGAGUGAUCCCUUUCAAUGGGAGUGGCGGAACUUCGACUCCGUCGCUGAGAUCCCGAAGAUGUUUCGGAUGUAUCUCCGCGCUAGAGGAGUCCCGGGUCCCGUGAACGCCCCCGUCUGCGCCGUUCCAUCUGACAGCUAAGAGGAAGACGAUUUGGAGGAAGAGGCUAGCACCGGUUGGAAACGCGUUUGGGAUCGUUCCGAAGUGGACAUCAAGGACAAGGCGUCCACUUCAAAAGUUAAACCGGCAAUGAAGGAGCCUGUUCCCGAGCCUCUUCCUUAAAUGUUCCCUAACUCUGCUUUCUUUUCUCUUUUUUUUUUUUUUUUUUUUUAAACUCGUAAUGGGCUUCGGCCCCUUUUUUAUUUAUGGAAAUAUUUGCAACUUUCCUUUCUUUUCAAAUAUUCUCGGAGAUGCGCCUUUUAAUGCAGGAUCUGUUCGAGGGCAUAAAUCUCUCCGUGAAUCACUCCAUUCCUUGGAUAGAAUCCGCAGUUUGUUAGGGAUAUGACGUUCCUAUAAAUUAUAGUCUUAAUUUCUCUUUACUUCUCACCAUUCUUUUCAUUUUGGUAGGUACGGAGUUCAAUCUUCGCUGUUCAGAAUCUAUGCCCGACUUCUCCAGAAUCGGAAUGAUGAGCGAAGAUGUUCCAAAUGAGCCAAACAGGCAGCCUCCUCCACUUCGCGGCUUCUUGAGAUCUCAGAUCCGAGCCCCAUGUGCUUUGAUCAGGAAUCUCCCAAUCAGAGACCGAGGAACAGCGACGGCGUUCAUAGAGGCACUCGAGCUUCAACACCAGAAGCUUAUGUCGGAAAAGAGGAGACUCCGGAAGAGGAUUAACCGGAUGCAACUCAGGCUUACUACGGUGUCAAGAAAUCUUCACAUCCUUGAAUCUCACCCCGGAGAGUGGAUUGAGCUUGGAAUCUCUGACUUUGCUCGAAUUCCGGACUGCAUGAUGCCAAUCCUCGAUAUUGCUGGUCAAGGAUUUGAAGUGUUCUGCUCGUCAACAAGGUUUUCGUAGUCCGAAGUGUACGAUAAGGGACAUUCCAUUUUUUUUUUUAAAUAACGCUCUAUUUCCCAUCUCUUGUAUGUUCGCAUAGUUCGAACCUUUAUUUGCUUCACUUGUUCGGACAAUCGAACCUUUUUCCUUUAAUAAAGAAAUAAAACAAAUUUUUAUUAAUAGCUGAACUCGUUUUCGAGCUGCCUACGUACCCAUCUCGGGAUCAAGCCACACCGUAGUUCAUGUACAUAAACAAUGUAUGUAGCUCUAAACAUAAAACUUCUUCAGGUUGAUCACAUUCCAAGGUCGCUUGACUGGAUUGUCUUCUAAGUCUUUCAAUCUAUAAACACCGUUCCGAACCACUUCGGUAAUAAUGUAAGGUCCUUCCCAAUUAAUACCGAGUUUGCCGGCGCCUUCUUCUUUCUUAUUGUCAAAGACGCGCCUUAAUACAUAAUCUCCCACGAAGAACGGCCUACUUUUAACCUUAGAGUUGUAAUACCGAGCUGCUGCCUGUUGGUAAUUCUGAAUCCGAAUUAGAGCUUGAUCACGCUUUUCAUUUAUGGUAUCUAGUGAAUCGUUAAACAUUGCUGAAUUUCCUUCUUCAUUUAACGGUGCUUCUGUUCGACGAAGUCCGGGCACAUUGAGUUCAGCUGGUACUACCGCCUCCAUGCCGUAAACCAAAGAAAAUGGAGUUUCUCCAGUAGGCCACCGAGGGGUUGUACGAUAGGCCCACAGGACGGGUUGGAGUUCUUCAUACCAUCCCCCCUUUAGAUGACUUAAGCGUUUCUUGAGAUUGCUUAAUAUUGUCUUGUUUGCGGCUUCAGCUUGACCGUUUCCUUGCGGAUAUCGUGGAGUAGAAUAACUAACUUUGAUUCCCCAGUCCGCACAAAAGGCAUCAAAUUUGUGUGAAAUGAAUUGUGGUCCAUUAUCAGUGACUAUUUCGUAUGGAACUCCAUGUCGACAUAUAAUGUUUUUCCAAAUAAAGGUCUUCACCGCCGAAUCCUUGAUACUAACAUACGCCUCUGCUUCAAUCCAUUUUGAAAAGUAGUCCGUAAGGACUAAAAGGUAUUGUACACCUCGAGUUGAUUUGUGUAAUGGUCCAAUGAUGUCCAUUGACCACCUCAUAAACGGGUAUGGGGCGGAAAUGGAGGAGAAUAAUUCCGACGGUUGAUGGAUCAAUGGUGCAUGGAGUUGACAGCGCUUGCAUCUUUGGGCGAACUUAACACAAUCUGUGAUCAUAGUGGGCCAAAAAUACCCCAUUCUUUUAACUUUAAAAGCCAUAGCUCUUCCUGAUGAAUGACUCCCACAUAAUCCUUCAUGCACCUCGCUCAUGACGAUUUCGACUUCGGGCCCAAAAAUGCAUAAUAGGUAAGGGUCACUGACACCUCGUCUAUAUAACGCAUCCUUUGACAGACAAAAUUUCGCGCUAACGACUUUCAUUUUCCUGGCCUGCCAUUUAUUCUUUGGGAGCUCACCUGUCAUGAUGUAGUGCUUUAUUGGCUCCCUCCAGUCAGCCCCCCAGUCUUUAGCCGGAAUUUGGUCAACCUUGUGAAAUACUCGUGGCUCUGGCUCGGGAUGUUCGUUUGGUUCGAGAGCAUCCUCCUCGAUUAACGAUUCGGUUUCUAAUACUGUUUCUGAACUCACAUCUUCAGCUAAGACAACGGGUCCCUUGUUAGAUGUAUUUGAUCCUCUUGACUUUCUCCGUUUGUUGGGUGGCGGUUCGAUCUCUGGUUUGCCACGGUCGUGUGCCGCCGCUCGAGACCUUGUAAUGACGAGGGUUUCUUUGUUGUCUUGAAUGCUUCGCUCCGAAAUGCAUUCCACUGGAAUAACUCUUUUCAACUCAGGAUCUGAUGUUGAUGCCAAUGCGGCAAGCGCGUCCGCAGUUGUAUUCUCUCCUCGAGGUAUGCGGAUUAUUUCAAAUUUCGAGAAAUUUUUAGAUAAAUCCUUUACCACUUCGAGGUACGCUUCCAUUCUUGAAUCUUUGGCUUCAUAAUCUCCAUUAAAUUGGUUAACUACUAAUUAUAAAUCGCAAUAAGCCAAUAUUUCCUUAGCUCCAACUCCUUGUGCUAAUCGAAGUCCGGCAAUCAGGGCUUCGUAUUCUGCCUCGUUGUUGGAGGCAUUGAAUAACAACCGGAAUGAUUGUUCUAGAAUUUCUGACGUCGGAGACUCCAACUUGAUUCCCACUCCGGAUCCUUGUUUUGUUGAAGACCCAUCUACGUGUAAUUUCGAAGUUUGGUUCUCCGGUUGUUCUAUCCUUCCAGGUAUUGGUAGUUCGGUCAGGAAAUCUGCUAAGACCUGAGCCUUCAUACUGAUCCGGCUUUUGAACUCUAUGUCGUACUCGCUUAAUUCCACCGCCCAUUUCGCCAAUCGUCCGGACUGGCUUGGACUAUGAAGUAUUGUUCGGAGUGGCUGGUUGGUUAAUACCUCAACCGGAUGGGAUUGAAAGUACGGGCGUAGCUUUCGAGCCGAUAUCACCACUGCGAGUGCGAGUUUUUCCAUCAUUGUGUAUCUGGUUUCUGGAUCCGUCAUUGACUUGCUCACAUAGUAAAUUGGUUUCUGCUCCCCACUGUCUUCCCGAACCAAGACUCCACUAACUGCGUGGUUUGAAACCGACACGUACAAAUAAAGUUUUUCAUCCACUUCUGGUUUGGACAAUAUAGGCGGAGUGGUUAAGUAUGCUUUAAGCUGCCCAAAAGCUUCUUCACACUUCUCGUCCCAAAGGAAUCCUUUGUUCCCUUUUAGAAUUUGGUAGAAAGGCAACGACUUAUCUGUUGAUCUCGAGAUAAAACGAUUCAGAGCCGCAAUCCGCCCAGUCAACCGUUGUACUUCUUUGAAGUUUCUUGGAGAGGGCAUGUUCAGAAAGGCGUUGAUUUGAUUUGGAUUGGCUUCGAUUCCUCUUUCUGUCACGAUAUAACCAAGAAAUUCUCCGGACGGGACUCCAAAUGUGCACUUCGCCGGGUUCAGCUUCAUUUGAUAUUUAUUGAGAAUAUCAAAACAUUCCUCUAAAUGCUUAACGUGAUCCUCUUUCUUUAACGACUUAACCAACAUAUCAUCUAUGUAGACUUCCAUUGUUUUCCCGAGAUGAUUAUGGAACAUCUUGUUAACCAACCGUUGGUAAGUUGCUCCUGCAUUUUUCAAACCAAAAGGCAUUACCUUGUAACAAUAGAUACCUCUAUCAGUAAUGAAUGACGUCUUUUCUUGAUCUUCGGGGUUCAUCAUUAUUUGAUUAUAACCCGAGAAGGCGUCCAUGAAUGUUAACAACUCGUUCCCAGCGGUGGACUCUACAAGUCGAUCUAUAUGUGGGAGCGGGAAACUAUCUUUGGGACAUGCUUUAUUUAGGUCUGUGAAAUCGAUGCAAACCUUAUCUUUCACGUUCUUCUUUUUGACGACGACAGUGUUUGCUAUCCAUUCCGGGUAUUGCACUUCUCUUAUGGAUCCUAUCUUUAAAAGUUUAUCUACUUCGUCAUUUACUAUUUUGGCUCGCUCCACUCCGAGCUUUCUUCUUUUCUGUUUUACCGGCUUGAAGCUCGGAUCUACGUUUAGCUCGUGACAAAUUAUACUUGGAUCUAUACCAGGCAUGUCUGCUGCUGACCAUGCAAACGAUGUUUUAUUUAUCUUUAAAAGUUCGAUCAAAGCUUCUUUUAUUUGGCCAGUCAGAGUUGCUCCAAUUCGAAUUUUCCGGUCAGGCUUGUCUUCUUCCAAAACCACUUCGAUUACUACAUCAUCUUUCUUCUGCCCGCUAGGAAAUUUUGUUCUUAGUCCCUCUUUUACGGGCUUCGUUAGUUGCUAUUGAAUCUUCAUACGGUGGCUAGCUAGGUAACACGUCCGUGAAGCUUCUUGAUCUCCCCGAAUUGUUUCCACCCCAUUUGAUGUUGGAAAUUUGAUACAUUGAUGGUAUGUAGAGGGGACUGCUUUCAUUCGAUAAAUCCAGGGAGUCCCAAGGAUGAUGUUGUAAGCUGCAGGUUUGUCGAAGACAACGAAGUCCACGAUCUUCGAUACCUUCUUGGCAAGGACCGGUAGCUUGAUUGUUCCGAGAGACAUGGCUGACUCGCUUGUGAACGCAACUAACGGAGAUGGGGGUCCUACUAUGUCUCCUCGGCUGAUUCCCAUUCUUUCUAGAGUACUUAAAAAGAUCAAAUCCACCGAACUGCCUGUAUCUAUAAGGAUCCUUGAUACUUCGAAGUUAGCCACGUCAAGGGUAAUGACUAGAGCUUCAUCAUGCGGCCUUUUGAGGUACCGCGUUUCUUCUUCAUUAAAUGAUAUUGAUGUACCUUGAAAAUCUACUUCCUCGCUUAAGCUUGCUUUGAGUAGGAUAUUUCGUCUAUGUUUCUUGAUGGAACUUAUCGAAUCUCCGCAAAACUUGGAACCUCCUAGAAUCACAUUGAUCUUACCCUUCGAACUCUUUGGUUCUUCCUCGUUGGAUAACCUUGGUCUUUUGGAAUCUUGAUCUUUGGAGUUUUCCUUCGCUUCGUGGUAUUCCUUCACAAAAUCUUUUAUAUUGAAUUUGGAAAGAUCUCCACUGGCCCAAAGCUCUGCGAGGUGCUUUUUAAGAACGCUGCAAUCCUUGGUUAAAUGCCCGGUUACUUUAUGAAUAUCGCAAUAUAGACUUUCAUCACGGACCCAAGUGUUUGAUCUUCCUUUCCCUUGGAAUUGCUUUCCGACGGUACUGUUGAAGGGUUGCGACCCAAAUUUCCUUGGUCCUUUGCUCUCCCUAGACUCGAACUUCUUGGUAGGGAUGGUGAUUGCCGGCUUUUCUUGUUUAUUCCUUUUGGCAAAACUUUCUUUUUCGUCCUCUACCUCCAUCCAGUUAUUCGCGCGGAAGAGUGCAUCCUGAAUUGUGUCUGGUUUAUGAAGUAUUAAGUCUUCUUUAAACCUUGAAUCAUGUCGCAAUCCUUUUCGUAGAGCAGAUAAAGCUGAUUGCUGCGAGAUUCUUGGGAGCUUUGAUAGCACUCCUUUGAAUUUGGUGAUAAAAACUCGAAGUGACUCAUUAGAUCCUUGCGAUAAGUUCCAAAGAUCGGCAUCCGAAACGCUUUUAUCCAUGAGGAUGGAGUAUUGCUUUAAUAAUACGGCUGAUAGUUCGUCGAAAUUGCUGAUCGAACCCGGCUCUAAUUGGGUAAACCACAUUAGAGCUUGGCCACAUAGAUUCUCCGAAAAAAGCUUGCAGUAGCCUGCGUCCUCAUCAGCUUCAUCCAACUCGACUCUUCCAGCAGCGAUCAGAAAAGCUGCGAGAUAGCUUUUUGGAUCCUCCAAUCCGCUGUAAGGGUCCAACUUGAGUUUCCGGAAAUCUUUGAUCCUCAAACUUGCAAUUCGCGAGAUGAAAGGUGUUCGCCUAGCCUCUUCAAUGACUCGAUUGAUGUCUGGCUCCGAACUUGUAGCUUGAUGAAAUUUUGAUUUCAUUUCUUUUAAUUCCUGGCUAACCUUCCUCAUGGUCUCAAACUGGUCGAGGUUCUCCUGCUCGUAUUGAGCUGCAAGUUGUUCUUCAUCUCCGAGCUGUGUCUCUUCUUCCAACGUCUGAGCCACGUUAUUAGUAGCACCAGGAGUUGUUUGUUCGCUGGUUUCAUUUCGUGCAGCGGAACUUGGCGAGUUGAAUAUCCCUCUUCGGAUUCCCACAAGGUUUCCUGCACUUAAAGAGCGAACACGAGUUUGUAUAGUAUUGACGUUUUGACUAAGAGAUACCUGGGAUGUUUUCAACGUAUCGACGGCUUUUUCCACAUCCGAGAACUUUUGCGAUAUGUCCGACAUGGUUUGCUGCAUAGCUUUGAGGGUUUCAGCCAAUGAUGUCUCAACGGUGUCUCCUCCAGACAUUGUUGCUUAUCUCGGAAGUGUGAUAAAGGAAAAAUCUGACCACUCAAGAAUCCUAAUCUCUCCCCACAGGCGGCGCCAAAAUGUGGAUGUCGGAUUCACACACUCAAGUAUUUUAUUAAGUAGAAAAGAUUAUUCUUGAGGGACAAAAAAUAAAUAUGUAAAAAGCUUAUGAAUUGCUACGAAAAUCGCUAUAUUCUUUCUUUCUCAAGAGGCCGAUCCCCUUUUUACAUGGUCAUUGGCCUUUUUAUUUAUACAUAGAGAAACGACAUUAAAAUGAAUAAUUAAGUACAAUUAUUCCUUCUUAAAUGCGUCCGUUUUGAUUCUUCGACUUUAAUGCUCAACGUUUGAAUUUGAGUUGACUCUGGUCUUCUUGGGCCUCGCCUUUCCGGCCCAAGUGUCCUUGAACCGUCUUACCCGUGUCUACAUCGAACUCAUGUCACAAUGCAGUCACUUCGGACUCUCGAAGUGGUGACAACUACUUCGACCGUUCCUUCGGCUCAUGGGUCCGAUGGGCUUCAUCCUUUAUGGGUCAUUACCUUGACUACGUGGCAAUCUUUGGUUGGUCUCGUAUUUCCGGUGCGGGAUCCGACACCAACAAUAUUAUUAGGUUGAAUUCUCUUUUUUUUUUGUCUUUAAAGCAAAAAAAAAAUUAUUAUUGGGUCGUGCCGAAAACGGACUGCUUCCAAAUGGACCGGGCCAGCCCACAGACUAACUCAUUUACAUAUAGGAAACCCUAGGGUUUCUUCUAUCCUUUCUUUCUCUAAAAGCCGCCGGCGAGAGAGAGAGCAAAACAAAAGAUUGGAAAAGAUGAAGACGAUUCUUUCUUCUGAGACGAUGGAUAUCCCCGACAGCGUUACCAUCAAGGUUCACGCUAAAGUGAUCGAAGUCGAAGGACCUCGCGGGAAGCUUGUUCGCGAUUUCAAGCAUCUCAACCUCGAUUUCCAGCUGAUCAAGGACCCUGAGACUGGGAAGAAGAUGCUUAAGAUCGAUUCGUGGUUUGGAUCACGCAAAACCAGCGCCUCCAUCAGAACCGCUCUUAGUCACGUUGAUAACCUUAUCUCCGGUGUUACCAGAGGUUUCCGUUACAAGAUGAGGUUCGUGUACGCUCAUUUUCCCAUUAACGCCUCCAUCGGCGGUGAUGGCAAGUCUAUCGAGAUCCGUAACUUCCUUGGCGAGAAGAAGGUUUGGCUUCUUCAUUUCUGUUUUGUUGAGCUGGUUUUUGAAUCUGUAGAUCCCGGAAUGAAAUAGUUUGCCUCUAGAUUCAGCUUUGUUGUUGUUAAAUUCGAUAAUGUUAGCUCUGAUACUUGGAUUAUGAUUGAUUUCUGAGUUUGCGAACAUUGAACUUACUUAGAAAUGUGUUUAUUGGAUCAUUAGGUGAGGAAGGUAGAGAUGUUGGAUGGUGUAACCAUUGUUCGAUCUGAGAAGGUCAAGGAUGAGAUCGUUCUUGAUGGUAACGAUAUCGAGCUCGUCUCUAGGUCUUGUGCUCUGAUCAACCAGGUACUCCUACUCUUUAACUAGUAGGUAUCAAAUUUGUGUUUAUCUUUCCAUCACCGCCGAUAGAGUCUGAUAAAGCAUGAGCAUGUAAAUCCUUUCAUUAGCUAACUUGGUUCGAUUUUUGCAUAUUGUUGUGUGAAGGAAAGCAUGAGCAAUUGUGAUUAUAAGAAUUCUUGGUUGAAAGUCUGAAUUUGUUGUUACAUAUAGCAUAGUUAGACUGGCUUGAUUCUUUAUGUUGUACUGUCUUAUUUAACUGCUAUGGUUUUUGUGAUUGUGCAGAAAUGUCAUGUGAAGAAGAAGGAUAUCAGGAAGUUUCUUGACGGUAUCUAUGUUAGCGAGAAAAGCAAGAUCGUAGAGGAAGAAUGAAUACUCAUAUCCUCCUCUUAGCUCCUCUUUCUUAUCUUUUGAAUGUUAGUUUUGUUUUAUGGACCAAAUCCACCGGUGAUGUAAAACUUGGCCUUCUUUUGUUCGAGAAUUUAUGAACUUAUGCAACAAGUUUUUGGAGAUAAUUUUAUCCACAUUUUCAUUCAUUUGCCAAAUUAUAUUUCUCGGAUGAAUUUUUUUUAAUUCGGAAGAAUGGGUUGUGUCUUUCAAUUUCAGACCAUUAUAAAUCAUUAUCUUGAAUAAACAAGAAUCGCUGAACAAAAGAAAAAAAUAUUUAUAUUUGAAGAUUGAAUAAAAAUUCUCGCCUUUUUUAAAAUUUGUUAAAUAAAUACAAUUUUUUCAUUGGUUUAAAUUGGUAACAAGAAAAGAAUUAAAGAAAUAACUUUGUGGGAGGAAAAAAAAAAAGAAAUAACUGUGUCAGAUUUUGUGGGUACCUAACCUUUUCUGGAGUGUAAUAAAUACAAAAAUAUAUUUUUAUUUAUGUGUUUUUACAAUGAACCAUUUAUUACGAAAAGAUGAGAAUCACGAUGAUAUAAUCAGAAAAAAUUUUCCGAUUAAAAUUCCGGCAUGAAUUCGGCGAAAAUUAAUACACUAUAGUUUUGGCAUAGAUCCAGUUUCCGGCAAGAGGGAGAGAGAUAAAACAAAAAUAAAAGUCAUCUAGUACUGGUAUGCAGAGAAAGAGACAGAGAAGAGAUCCGGUGAAUUGUUUAUGUAACGGCGACUAUAGAUACAGAGAUGCAAAUCAAAGAUCCGUAGAUAAAUGAUAGAGAAAGUAUGUAAUUUUGAAAAAUAACAUGAAUUGUUUUUCUUAAAAGCAGGUCAUCUAUAAUAAAUACAAUGUUAUUUUAAAAAAUACAAUGUUUAAAACAAAAAUACAUGUUAACCAUGACAUAGCGUAGUCGCCCGUCUUCAAUUGUGAGUUUCAGUAAUAGAAAAUAGACUAGAAUUGCUGAAAUAUCAUGGAAUAUAUACAAUUUACAAGGCAUCUAACAUAAUUACGUGUGUUAUAUAAAAAAACUAAUGUGUUUUUUUAAAACAUAGUGUGAUAUAUUGAAAGAUAGUGUGUUAAGCAAAAAAAUAGCAUGUUAAAAGUAAAAACAUUGUUGCAUGAAAUAAAAUUACACAAAAUUCAAAAAAAAAAACUUAAAAAAAAAGUUGAGAGGGAGUAUUAGAAAAAGCAACGAAAGAGAGAAACAUCUAUACUAUUAAUUGGGAAGCACUCAAACAUAAAUAACCUUAUAAAGUGUAAAGUAUUACAAAAAUGCCAUUAGUUUUUGUUUUUAAAUAAAUUCAUUAAAGAUACAAUAAUAAUCACAAAAUAAUAUAUUUAAAUAAAAAAUAGUAAAAUUCUUUAAAAUAAUUAUUAGUUUCCAAAAAAUUAAACUCACUUUCUCUCUCAUAUUAAUUAUGGACAAAAAUUUAAUUUUUUCUUCUAAAAAGUUGUUAACCAAUGAGAAUUAAAAAACUAAGAUUUAAUAUCUAACUAAAAUUUUAUCUAAACCAAUCCUAAUAAACUAUUCCAUAUCAAAAAUAAAAAGAAAAAUAAUAACAUUAUAAUUCAAAAUUAAAAACACUAUCGUUUAAAAAGUUUUAUCAAUGGAGGAUUUUAAGAUUGAAUUUGAAAUUUCGUAAAAAUAUUAAAUACAAAUAUUUAAGACUCAAUUUUGUUAUAAUAUUUUCACAAAUUUUGAAAUAUAAAACAAAAUUUUAUUUCGAAAUUUCUAAAAAACGAUAUUAGAUAUUAACAAAUAUUUAUAUUUACUAUGAAAUAAAUUCAAAAAUGAUAAAUUUAAAGUAAUUAUCAUUAUGGCAUUCGUUUAGAGAAGGUUUCGGAAAUAUCUAAACAAAAGAUUGUACAUAUUAAUUUCGAAAUAUUUUGUGUUUUUUUUUUCUUCUCAACCGGAUCUUCCUUGAACAAAUCCAUAAUAUAUUGCACACAGUUUUCGAAAUAAUGUGAACUAAUUAUAUAUUUUGCAUUCAAAACAAAUUAUGCAGCAAUAACAUAUCAUUUUUAUAGAGUAUCUCAAGUUUUAAUUUUAGUCCCAAAAAUUGAAUUAAUUAUGAUUAAACAAUGAAAAGAAAAAUAUACAAAAUUUAGCUAGAAUCAUUAAUAAGUUUGUUAAAAUAUAUUUGUAACUUUAACAGCAUACAUAUUAAUCCGCAAAAUUCACAACAUAUAUUGUAAUAUUGUAUGGUAAUUAAAGGUAAGCAAACAAGAAUUUGGAAUAUGAUUUUAAUGGAAUAAAAUGAAAAUAUAAAUUACUAGACGAGAUGGGAGGAAAACAUAUAUUAAAAAUCAAACUAAAUACCCAACUGGCAUGAGUUCGGGUUAUGAGCACUAUAUAAAAUAAAUUUGUUUACACACAUACGUUUUCAGGUACACAUACUCUAUUUAUGACAGAUAUGAGACCAUAAUAUUUUUAUUUUACGUAUACGUGACAGGUUAUGGGACAAAGAAUUUAUGACAGAUACCAGACGGUAUAUUUUUAUGUUCCAAAAUAGUUACGCCUAGCUAAUAUACAUGAAAUAACCCAAACUAAAAUCAAAUUCAUAUCCUAUUUAACAUAUGUAAUCAAACUGUUAGGACUGUUUAGAUUAGUUAAGAAAAUAAAAAUGUAACACCAUUUAACUUUUGCAACUAAAUUAAUCUGGAUCUUAAAAUAUAAUUAUGCAUUAACGCAACUGAAUUUUGUUCAUUACUCUAACUUUAUAAUAUUUAUACUAUUACGAAGUUCACUAACACAACAAAAUAUUUUAUAUUUUUAAAAUCUAUAUAACGAUUUCUAUAAAAAUAUCUCUACACGUAUGUGGAUUCAGAUGUAAUAUACUAAAAUAUAUAUCAUAAAAAGUUAAAAACAACAAAAUAAUCUAUACUGAAUUAAAAUUUGUUAGAAAUUUUUUAAAAUAUGAAACCCCGCACGUACGUGCGGGUCAUGAUCUAGUAUCUAUCUAUGUGAGUUGAGAAGAAAAAAAUUUGGGAUGAGAGAGAGAAAAGAUAUAAGAAUAAGAGAUGCUAUGGAAAAUGAUAUCGAUGUGGAGAGAGAGACAUGAUAUGCGCUAAAAAAAAAUAGACAUGAUGUGCAAAUUUUGAUAUAUAUGUAAUUAAUUAUGUAAACAUUGUACCUCAUGUUUACUUUUAAUCAAUUUAUUUAUAUUGACAAAAAAUGAUUCACAAAUCACAAUGAUGGAUCUUGUUGUUAAAUUAUUUAACUAAAAAUUAUAUUAAAGUAGAUUAGGACCGUCUGAUGUGUGGGUUUUAAAUUUUUUUAAUUACAUUCUUUGAAAAUAUAUAUAUAUAUAUAUAUAUAAUCUUUAAGUUAGAGAAGAUAAUUAUAUAUAUAUACAUACAUAUAUAUAUAUAUAUAUAUAUAUAUAUAUAUAUAUAUAUAUAUUCUUCAAUUCAAAAAAAAUGUUAUUUAUAUGUUCGUUUUGCUUUAACUUAUUUGCAACUUUAUAUUUUAAAUUUAUUGUAAGAUUUAUUACAAUAAACUAUUACAUUUAAAUUACCAAUCUUCAAAUCUUUUGCCAUAUAUUCAUCAUUAUUUUUAUUGUCAAAUCUCGAGAACGUAGUUUAGCAAUUUCGCGUAAAUGAUUCUACUACUUGAGAAACUGUUUUACAUGCAAAUCAUCGGUAAGCUUAUUUCAAUCCAUUUACAAAUCUACUAUCUACAUUACAACUAAAAAAUGUAUCUAUGAACACAUUAAGCCUAUCCAUUUCAAUCCAAUCAUAUUUUACUAUUGAAAUAUGUUUUCUAUCACCACCUACAAAAUGUAUCUAUGAACACAUUAAUCCAAUUAUAUGUCUUAUUUUUUUAUGUCCAACUAUAUGUCUCUUCAUUUGUACUUUUGCAUGGUUUCUUUAACCACUAAAUUUUUUGAGUUAAAGAAUAUUUUGAAUAAAAAAUUAUAUCAUAUAGCAAUAAUUUAUGAUGUAUUUAUAAAAAAUUAAAAUAAAUAAAAACUAUUUGAUUAGAAUGCGUUUAUGACCAACCAAUAAACUAAAAGUUGAGAAAUUAAAAGAAAUUAAUUUGACAUAACUAAAAAGAAUAGAAAACUAUAAACACGAUAAUAUAUGAGUCUUAGAUAAUUCAAAGAUAGAAAUAUAAAUUAAAAUAAACAAUCUAAAAAUUCAACCAUUAAAUUAUAAAUAUUAGGAAAAUAAAUAGCAUAUAUUGAUCUUACCUACUAACUAUAAAAGAAAAUUCAAAAAUAUAAAAAAAUUAUUUUAAAUCAACAAAAAAUUGAAAUAUAUAAUGUAACUACUAACUUUGAAAAUCAAACUUUAUCUAAUAAGAUUAUAAAGUAUUAUAUACUCAUAAUUUAAUCUAAUAUUUUUAGGUUGAAUUCUCUUUUUUUUUUGUCUUUAAAGCAAAAAAAAAAUUAUGAGUAUUCCUCUUGGAUCUUUUUCUUUCGGUUUGUUAGCUGCUAAAGUUUACCGUGACGGAGGCGCCCUCUAUGGAGACGAUGGCAAGUGUUUUGGGAUGCAUUGCUUUCAAACCACUUUUAUAAUAUUUAUACUAUUACGAAGUUCACUAACACAACAAAAUAUUUUAUAUUUUUAAAAUCUAUAUAACGAUUUCUAUAAAAAUAUCUCUACACGUAUGUGGAUUCAGAUCUAAUAUACUAAAAUAUAUAUCAUAAAAAGUUAAAAACAACAAAAUAAUCUAUACUGAAUUAAAAUUUGUUAGAAAUUUUUUAAAAUAUGAAACCCCGCACGUACGUGCGGGUCAUGAUCUAGUAUCUAUCUAUGUGAGUUGAGAAGAAAAAAAUUCGGGAUGAGAGAGAGAAAAGAUAUAAGAAUAAGAGAUGCUAUGGAAACUAAUAUCGAUGUGGAGAGAGAGACAUGAUAUGCGCUGAAAAAAAAUAGACAUGAUGUGCAAAUUUUGAUCUAUAUGUAAUUAAUUAUGUAAACAUUGUACCUCAUGUUUACUUUUAAUCAAUUUAUUUAUAUUGACAAAAAAUGAUUCGGAAAGCACAAUGAUGGAUCUUGUUGUUAAAUUAUUUAACUAAAAAUUAUAUUAAAGUAGAUUAGGACCGUGUGAUGUGUGGGUUUUAAAUUUUUUUAAUUACAUUCUUUGAAAAUAUAUAUAUAUAUAUAUAUAUAUAUAUAUAUAAUCUUUAAGUUAGAGAAGAUAAUUAUAUAUAUAUACAUACAUAUAUAUAUAUAUAUAUAUAUAUUCUUCAAUUCAAAAAAAAUGUUAUUUAUAUGUUCGUUUUGCUUUAACUUAUUUGCAACUUUAUAUUUUAAAUUUAUUGUAAGAUUUAUUACAAUAAACUAGUACAUUUAAAUUACCAAUCUUCAAAUCUUUUGCCAUAUAUUCAUCAUUAUUUUUAUUGUCAAAUCUCGAGAACGUAGUUUAGCAAUUUCGCGUAAAUGAUUCUACUACUUGAAAAACUGUUUUACAUGCAAAUCAUCGGUAAGCUUAUUUCAAUCCAUUUACAAAUCUACUAUCUACAUUACAACUAAAAAAUGUAUCUAUGAACACAUUAAGCCUAUCCAUUUCAAUCCAAUCAUAUUUUACUAUUGAAAUAUGUUUUCUAUCACCACCUACAAAAUGUAUCUAUGAACAUAUUAAUCCAAUUAUAUGUCUUAUUUUUUUAUGUCCAACUAUAUGUCUCUUCAUUUUUACUUUUGCAUGGUUUCUUUAACCACUAAAUUUUUUGACUUAAAGAAUAUUUUGAAUAAAAAAUUAUAUCAUAUAGCAAUAAUUUAUGAUGUAUUUAUAAAAAAUUAAAAUAAAUAAAAACUACUUGAUUAGAAUGCGUUUAUGACCAACCAAUAAACUAAAAGUUGAGAAAUUAAAAGAAAUUAAUUUGACGUAACUAAAAAGAAUAGAAAACUAUAAACACGAUAAUAUAUGAGUCUUAGAUAAUUCAAAGAUAGAAAUAUAAAUUAAAAUAAACAAUCUAAAAAUUCAACCAUUAAAUUAUAAAUAUUAGGAAAAUAAAUAGCAUAUAUUGAUCUUACCUACUAACUAUAAAAGAAAAUUCAAAAAUAUAAAAAAAUUAUUUUAAAUCAACAAAAAAUUAAAAUAUAUAAUGUAACUACUAACUUUGAAAAUCAAACUUUAUCUAAUAAGAUUAUAAAGUAUUAUAUACUCAUAAUUUAAUCUAAUAUUUUUAGGUUGAAUUCUCUUUUUUUUUUUGUCUUUAAAGCAAAAAAAAAAUUAUGAGUAUUCCUCUUGGAUCUUUUUCUUUCGGUUUGUUAGCUGCUAAAGUUUACCGUGACGGAGGCGCCCUCUAUGGAGACGAUGGCAAGUGUUUUGGGAUGCAUUGCUUUCAAACCACUUUUAUAAUAUUUAUACUAUUACGAAGUUCACUAACACAACAAAAUAUUUUAUAUUUUUAAAAUCUAUAUAACGAUUUCUAUAAAAAUAUCUCUACACGUAUGUGGAUUCAGAUCUAAUAUACUAAAAUAUAUAUCAUAAAAAGUUAAAAACAACAAAAUAAUCUAUACUGAAUUAAAAUUUGUUAGAAAUUUUUUAAAAUAUGAAACCCCGCACGUACGUGCGGGUCAUGAUCUAGUAUCUAACUAUGUGAGUUGAGAAGAAAAAAAUUCGGGAUGAGAGAGAGAAAAGAUAUAAGAAUAAGAGAUGCUAUGGAAACUGAUAUCGAUGUGGAGAGAGAGACAUGAUAUGCGCUGAAAAAAAAUAGACAUGAUGUGCAAAUUUUGAUCUAUAUGUAAUUAAUUAUGUAAACAUUGUACCUCAUGUUUACUUUUAAUCAAUUUAUUUAUAUUGACAAAAAAUGAUUCACAAAUCACAAUGAUGGAUCUUGUUGUUAAAUUAUUUAACUAAAAAUUAUAUUAAAGUAGAUUAGGACCGUGUGAUGUGUGGGUUUUAAAUUUAUUUAAUUACAUUCUUUGAAAAUAUAUAUAUAUAUAUAUAUAUAUAUAUAUAUAUAUAAUCUUUAAGUUAGAGAAGAUAAUUAUAUAUAUAUAUACAUAUAUAUAUAUAUAUAUAUAUUCUUCAAUUCAAAAAAAUGUUAUUUAUAUGUUCGUUUUGCUUUAACUUAUUUGCAACUUUAUAUUUUAAAUUUAUUGUAAGAUUUAUUACAAUAAACUAGUACAUUUAAAUUACCAAUCUUCAAAUCUUUUGCCAUAUAUUCAUCAUUAUUUUUAUUGUCAAAUCUCGAGAACGUAGUUUAGCAAUUUCGCGUAAAUGAUUCUACUACUUGAGAAACUGUUUUACAUGCAAAUCAUCGGUAAGCUUAUUUCAAUCUAUUUACAAAUCUACUAUCUACAUUACAACUAAAAAAUGUAUCUAUGAACACAUUAAGCCUAUCCAUUUCAAUCCAAUCAUAUUUUACUAUUGAAAUAUGUUUUCUAUCACCACCUACAAAAUGUAUCUAUGAACACAUUAAUCCAAUUAUAUGUCUUAUUUUUUAUGUCCAACUAUAUGUCUCUUCAUUUUUACUUUUGCAUGGUUUCUUUAACCACUAAAUUUUUUGACUUAAAGAAUAUUUUGAAUAAAAAAUUAUAUCAUAUAGCAAUAAUUUAUGAUGUAGUUAUAAAAAUUAAAAUAAAUAAAAACUACUUGAUUAGAAUGCGUUUAUGACCAACCAAUAAACUAAAAGUUGAGAAAUUAAAAGAAAUUAAUUUGACAUAACUAAAAAGAACAGAAAACUAUAAACACGAUAAUAUAUGAGUCUUAGAUAAUUCAAAGAUAGAAAUAUAAAUUAAAAUAAACAAUCUAAAAUUCAACCAUUAAAUUAUAAAUAUUAGGAAAAUAAAUAGCAUAUAUUGAUCUUACCUACUAACUAUAAAAGAAAAUUCAAAAAUAUAAAAAAAUUAUUUUAAAUCAACAAAAAAUUGAAAUAUAUAAUGUAACUACUAACUUUGAAAAUCAAACUUUAUCUAAUAAGAUUAUAAAGUAUUAUAUACUCAUAAUUUAAUCUAAUAUUAUUAGGUUGAAUUUUUUUUUUGUCUUUAAAGCAAAAAAAAAUUAUUAUUGGGUCGUGCCGAAAACGGACUGCUUCCAAAUGGACCGGGCCAGCCCACAGACUAACUCAUUUACAUAUAGGAAACCCUAGGGUUUCUUCUAUCCUUUCUUUCUCUAAAAGCCGCCGGCGAGAGAGAGAGCAAAACAAAAGAUUGGAAAAGAUGAAGACGAUUCUUUCUUCUGAGACGAUGGAUAUCCCCGACAGCGUUACCAUCAAGGUUCACGCUAAAGUGAUCGAAGUCGAAGGACCUCGCGGGAAGCUUGUUCGCGAUUUCAAGCAUCUCAACCUCGAUUUCCAGCUGAUCAAGGACCCUGAGACUGGGAAGAAGAUGCUUAAGAUCGAUUCGUGGUUUGGAUCACGCAAAACCAGCGCCUCCAUCAGAACCGCUCUUAGUCACGUUGAUAAUCUUAUCUCCGGUGUUACCAGAGGUUUCCGAUACAAGAUGAGGUUCGUGUACGCUCAUUUUCCCAUCAACGCCUCCAUUGGUGGUGAUGGC